rnacentral:sRNA from 1 species
UUUUAGGCCCGGUUGCAGCGGCAUCCUUUUGCGGAACGCAGUGGAGCAAAAGAUACAGCGAAAAACGGGAAAGAGC